CAAGUUUUCUUGCCCGAAAUCCAGAUGGCAUUGAUGGCAAUGGACAUGCAGGCCAUUCAAGCCACCUUAACUCAUUAGGAAGAUCCACAGGACCUCCAGUAAUAUGAGCAUUGCGGAUUAACAGUAUUCGAAGUCUUCGCAUUUUCAAAAAUGCUUCAGCACUCAACUGUAUCUCUUCAGAUUCAGGUAGGUCUACCAAAAUGCCUUCGAUGUCAUCUGUU
rnacentral:misc_RNA from 1 species